rnacentral:rRNA from 1 species
GAUGAACGCUGGCGGCGUGCCUAAUACAUGCAAGUCGAGCGAACGGACGAGAAGCUUGCUUCUCUGAUGUUAGCGGCGGACGGGUGAGUAACACGUGGAUAACCUACCUAUAAGACUGGGAUAACUUCGGGAAACCGGAGCUAAUACAGGAUAAUAUUUUGAACCGCAUGGUUCAAAAGUGAAAGACGGUCUUGCUGUCACUUAUAGAUGGAUCCGCGCUGCAUUAGCUAGUUGGUAAGGUAACGGCUUACCAAGGCAACGAUGCAUAGCCGACCUGAGAGGGUGAUCGGCCACACUGGAACUGAGACACGGUCCAGACUCCUACGGGAGGCAGCAGUAGGGAAUCUUCCGCAAUGGGCGAAAGCCUGACGGAGCAACGCCGCGUGAGUGAUGAAGGUCUUCGGAUCGUAAAGCUCUGUUAUUAGGGAAGAACAUAUGUGUGAGUAACUGUGCACAUCUUGACGGUACCUAAACAGAAAGCCACGGCUAACUACGUG